GAUGAACGCUGGCGGCGUGCCUAAUACAUGCAAGUCGAGCGAACAGACGAGGAGCUUGCUCCUCUGACGUUAGCCGCGCACGGGUGAGUAACACGUGGAUCACCUCCCUAUAAGACUGGGAUCACUUCGGGAAACCGGAUCUAAUACCAUAGAAUCUAUUGAACCGCAUGGUUCAUUAGUGAAAGACGGUUUUGCUGUAACUUAUCGCUGCUUCUCGGCCUCAUUUGCUGGUUGUGAAGGUAACGGCCUACCACGGCAACGAUGCGUAGACGAACUGACAGGGGGGUAGGCGGCACGGGAACUGAGCCACGGUCCAGAGUACUAAGGGAGGCAGCAGUAGGGAAUGUUACGCAGAGGGCGAAAGCCUGACGGAGUGAGGCGACGUGAGUGAUGAAGGUGUUCGGAUCGUAAAACUCUGUUACGAGGGAAGAACAAAUGUGUAAGUAACUAUGCACGUCUUGACGGUACCUAAUCAGAAAGCCACGGCUAACUACGUG
rnacentral:rRNA from 1 species